rnacentral:rRNA from 1 species
GACGAACGCUGGCGGCAUGCUUAACACAUGCAAGUCGAACGGAAAGGCCCUGCUUUUGUGGGGUGCUCGAGUGGCGAACGGGUGACUAACACGUGAGUAACCUGCACUUGACUUUGGGAUAACUUCAGGAAACUGGGGCUAAUACCGGAUAGGAGCUCCUGCUGCAUGGUGGGGGUUGGAAAGUUUCGGCGGUUGGGGAUGGACUCGCGGCGUAUUAGCUUGUUGGUGGGGUAGUGGCUUACCAUGGCUUUGCCGGGUAGCCGGCCUGGGAGGGUGACCGGCCACAUCAGGACGGGGAUGCGGCCCAGACUCCUACGGGAGGGAGCGGUGGGGAAUAGUGCACUAGGGGCGGAAGCAUGAUGUAGUAACGCCGCGUGGGGGAUGACGGCCAGCGGGUUGGAUACUGCUGUCGCCUGUGACGAAGCGUGAGUGACGGUAAUGGGUAAAGAAGCACCGGCUAACUACGUG